CCCGCCGCCGCCGCUUCCUCCAGGGCCUCCGCUGCCGCUGCCGCUCGGGCCCCCGCCGCCAAGCGUGCUGGUGCCGCCGCCGCCUCCGCCAGCGCUCAUUGCCCUCAGCUGCCCUGCCCUGUCCUCAAGGGGGCGACCUUUUAUCUAUCUCUCUCCCUGCGUGCGUGCCUGCCGCCUGCGGCCCUGCAGCUCCAGUGGCCGGGGGUCGGGCUCGGUCUUGUACUAGUUAUAGGCCGGGAUAAACAAUGGCAAGGGCAACUGGGGAAGGGACGGGAGAGUGAGAGGGAGGAGGAGGAG
rnacentral:misc_RNA from 1 species